UGACGAUUCCGUGAAGAAGUAAUGGCUGACGUUGUCGAACAUUCAGACCCACUGGAGGCGUUCCACAGCCUGGAGCCUGCCGAUAAGGAAUUCGAUGCGACUUGACCGGACUUGCACCCACAGCCUUUUGUCAGGCCUGUGACAGGCUGUCUGACUGCUGCAAGAUGUUUGUCAGAGCCCCACACCAUGACUAGGUCAUUGGUUCUUUACAAUCCCUACCUUGAAGAGGUGGGUAGUUGAUAGUAGAAUUUGUUGCUUAAAUUGAGCGAUAAUCAGAGGCAACAAUUCCAGUGUAGCUGAAUUCCACUUGUAGGUUUUACGGCACCGCCAUCCAUGGACUCUUGGUACUACUUCAUACUGAAGUUUCACUGUGUGUGGAAUCCGCCUGUCUGUGUUAGUGUUUUCCUUUGAUGUCUCUUCGUCUCAGUUUCUUCCUCAGUGCUUGUUGUGAUUGGCAUGUGGCAGCCAAAUGGCCAUGGAACUUCAACUGUGGUACUUGCAUCAAUUGGGCUAGUGUGACCAGUGGUGCUAUGGCCAGCCGUUACUCCUCGUUGAGAAAAGAUCCCUGCAAGUGUACUUGACUGGCUGUAUGCGUCUAAUACGUCUGCAAGCACCAACUGAAGUGGGUGCUGCGCAAUGUCAACGAUCGAUGCACGUAAUCAUUACCCACAGCAGUGGUGUCGGUCAGUGUGGUGUAACUACCUUCCUCAACAAUCACCAGCUGCUGGCUUGUGACAGUUUCGCCGAAAAUUAGUCGGUCUCUCUCAUUCCGCUAUCCCUUUGUCGACUCUGAGGAGAUGCUCGACAAGCACAUAAUUUGGUACUUCCCGUACAGCCUAGUUUUUGCAGUAUUUGCUUCCUACACCAGCCACAGUGCUUUUCUUCCCGCGUUCUUUUUUCCGCUGGACGGUUUGGGAUUAUCUUUUGUGUUACAUUCUUUCGUUUUCUGUUCCUGUUCUUGUGUGUUAACGUUUCAGUGGAAUGGUGCAAUGCAUUUCCAACCAAUGCAGUCAUUCUGGUUUAAAUUGGAUUGAACUGUACAGGUUUCCAAUGCUUAUGGCAUAUUACUGAUGUAUUCUCAGUCAU